rnacentral:rRNA from 1 species
AUUGAACGCUGGCGGCAGGCCUAACACAUGCAAGUCGAACGAGUGGCGGACGGGUGAGUAAUGUCUGGGAAACUGCCUGAUGGAGGGGGAUAACUACUGGAAACGGUAGCUAUUACCGCAUACCAUCAGAUGUGCCCAGAGGGGAUUAGCUAGUUGGUGGGGGAACGGCUCACCAAGGCGACGAUCCCUGGCUGGUCUGAGAGGAUGACCAGCCACACUGGAACUGAGACAAUGUCCAGACUCCUACGGGAGGCAGAAGGGGGGAAUAUUGCACAAGGGGCGCAAGCCUGAUGCAGCCAUGCCGCGUGUAUGAAGAAGGCCUUCGGGUUGUAAAGUACUUUCAGCGGGGAGGCGUUACCCGCAGAAGAAGCACCGGCUAACUCCGUGCCAGCCGCCGCGGUAAUAC